rnacentral:piRNA from 1 species
UGAAAAGUGCGGUUCCUACUGAAGAGG